ensembl:lncRNA
AAAGUAGGGAUAGGGAGCACUGCAGUAGAGUCUUUAUUUUUUCAGUCCUCGACUCAGACCCGGGAUCAAUCCAACCUCGUCCCAGUGGCAGAGGAGAAAAUUAUUCCUGGGACCCCAGCCUUUCUCCAAUCUUCGGACACUCCAAUGUCAGGCUCCUAUGUCAGUGUGGCCAGCAACCCCAUCCUCAGUAUGGAGGAGCACUUCCAUAUCGCUAGAGAGGGCUGGGACUUCAUGGAGGAAGACUCUCGUGCCUCUGAGCCAGACCUGGACUUCUGCAACAACAUGUCUGAGUACGACAGUGAACUCUGCUUGGGCUACGAAGCUUCGUCCUGUAGUUUAUUGGAAGACAUGCAAGAUCAUGUUCAACUAGAGCAUAUGAUGAGUGGGAACAACAUUCGUCCCAUGAGGUCUGAGGACAAGUCAGCCCACCAGCUGUAUGAUGAGGUCAACAGGAGGGACACGGGGGUUAGGGUGGUUGCCAAGGGGCAGGAGAUGGAGGGCACAGUGCAACAUGUUGGCCAUAUUCGCCCAGACUGGUCCAAAGAGUUCUAUCCAGAGACUGAAUCAGAUGUACCUCAGCCAGGGAUGAGGAGCUGUCAGCAGGGGUAUGGGGAGUGGAGGAGUCUAAACAGGGACAUUAAAGAUACGGGAGGGACCAAACCUUCAGAGGGGCUGCAGCUGCAUCUCUCACUUCCUGUUGAGGCCUCCUCUAUCAAAUUCCACAGGAAAAGCCCCUCUUCACCCUCUCUGAGUGGGGUGUUCAACACCUCCUACCCUGCCACCAACAGUCUGCAGAGCAUGUCCCCAGUGCUGUCUCCCCUAUCGCACAAGCUCCCCAGUCCUAAGCUCAACCACCGCAUCCUGCUCCUCUCUGACGUUGACGUUGGCCAGCGGACGGACAGUGACAGCCCCAUGACUGGAUCCGAAGAGGAGCCCAAAGUCACCACAGAGGUCAUAGAUAAGAAUGGCAACAAGCGGACCAUCACACGGCUGGACCUGAACCUCAGCAGACUACCAGGGACUUCCAAAUGGAAUUUAAAUGGCCUAUCUACGGCAACAGACAUACUACGUUACCUACCGGCUGGACAGUCCUAACCAAAGCUAAUCAAGACAAGAAUUAGAAAAAUUCCAACUGAACUGUCAACAAUCUAACUCAACUGUACUGUGAUUCAAUCCAUCUGAACAACCUUACAUGCAAUGUACCAUCAUCUAAAUAUAAAGUUUCAGGUCAUAGACAUUAACAUAAUGGAUGAGCUGUAGAUUACAUUGAGCCAUGGG